CACGGAUUAUAGGGGAAAGAGCAUGGACAUCUCUAGGGACCAUUAUUUGCUGAACACUCGGAUCCAACUCAGGGUACCAUGUUGCUUUUAGUUAUCAUGAAUCCUGAAUCUCCUCUGGUCUAGG